UACGUAGGAUGCAAGCGUUAAUCGGAAUUACUGGGCGUAAAGCGUGCGCAGGCGGUUUUGUAAGUCUGACGUGAAAUCCCCGGGCUUAACCUGGGAAUUGCGUUGGAGACUGCAAGGCUAGAAUCUGGCAGAGGGGGGUAGAAUUCCACGUGUAGCAGUGAAAUGCGUAGAGAUGCGGAGGAACACCGAUGGCGAAGGCAGCCCCCUGGGCUAACACUGACGCUCAGGCACGAAAGCGUGGGGAGCAAACAGG
rnacentral:rRNA from 1 species